UGUUAUCUCUGUCGCUGUCAUUUCCUCAUAGAACCCUAGCCGUAUUCGCCCUCCCCUUCUUGCCGUUCCUUUCGCCUACGACAACCAUCUCACCUACAUCCUUUUGCGUUCUGGUUUUCGUCCCUUUCCGGUUCCCGGCUCCUUCAAUUUCGUGUUAUUGCCUCCAUUAUUGAGUGGAUGCCUCACCGUAAGCUCUUAUCUUCUCUCCGCCAUCACCAGAACAAAAACUUAUAUCACUCAAGUUUGAUUACUGUUCAAGGUAUUCUCCUUUCAUUUUCUCUUUUAACUAGCCCAAUUUUGUAUUUAUAACUCACUUUCCAUGGUAAGAACUCAUUGUUCAGCUUGGAAGAGGAAGUAGAUUAUGUCAUUCAAUUUGAACACGAAAUUCCAUCGGUGCGGCGAAUGAAGUAAUUGGUCAGUCUUGCAUUCUCUUGAGGUUUCUGGAAUUUACUUGGAGAUCAAGAGGAACAAUGGAAAAAGGACCUGUCCUCUAUGCACACAAGAGAUGGAUUAGAGAGAUAAGCAAUUGAAAUUCUGUUGAUGUUAUGAGAAAUCCAACGGGUUGUGCAACAAAAUCUUCAAGCGCUGUUAAUCUUGAAAAUUGAAUUCACUUGAUUGAAUUUGAUUUUUUAUUUGAGUAUAAGGGUUACUAUAUUACCUCUUAGAAGUAACACUGUUGAAGACUAUCUACUAUUAUUUAGUAGUACUUUCUGAUUUUUUAUUAGAGUUAAGUAGUUUAAGUAAUUAUAGGAUAAUACCAAAUUCUUUGUAUAGUAUAGUGUUUUUAGUAGUCUAAAAGCUGCAGUCAGGAAUUUAGGAAUGAGAUCACCCAUUAGGGAUCUUAACAACGUUUAUUGUAUAUUUAGUUUUAGAGUUAAACUUUAUGUACAAUUAUUUAUACUUGAAUUCUUUUUUAUGUAAUGAAUAAAUCUUUUCAUAAGAAGUAUAAGUUAAAAAGUAUUGUGAAAUACAAUUUCAGUACAAUUGUGACCCUAAAGUACGUAUAAGCAAUAUAUGGAAUUUGAAGAAUAUGCAAUAUAUGGAAUUUAAGAUGAAAGUAUGAAUUGAAGAAUAUGCAACGCUUUACAAGUGUUCCAUAAAGAAUAUAUUAAAUUUUAAAUCGUGGUCAAUAAAAAAGGCAACAGUUUUUUUGUGUGGG